rnacentral:lncRNA from 1 species
CCUUCAAGAUUCAGCGCAACGCUUUCAUCAAGGGUUGUCCGGUCCAAUGCGGUUCUCUGCCUGAAAUUAACCUCAGGCUCUGGCAAAAGCCCCCUACCUAUACCCGUUGGACCUCCUGGGGACCAUGCAUCUACCGCAGACAGAGAAGAACACGUUCCCGUACGACCUGUGGCUGCUCUGUUACGAGCUAUCAGACUCGCAUCUGUGAGUGUGCA